rnacentral:rRNA from 1 species
CCUCAAGAUGAGAUUUCCCAUUUCUUUAAGAAAGCAAGAUCCCUGAGAGAUGAUCAGGUAGAUUGGUUAGGAGUGGAAGUACAGUGAUGUAUGGAGCGGACUGAUACUAAUCGAUCGAGGACUUAACCAAU